AACGAACGCUGGCGGCAUGCCUAACACAUGCAAGUCGAACGAGACCUUCGGGUCUAGUGGCGCACGGGUGCGUAACGCGUGGGAACCUGCCCUUAGGUUCGGAAUAACUCCCCGAAAGGGGUGCUAAUACCGGAUAAUGUCUUCGGACCAAAGAUUUAUCGCCUUUGGAUGGGCCCGCGUUGGAUUAGCUGGUUGGUAGGGUAAAAGCCUACCAAGGCGACGAUCCAUAGCUGGUCUGAGAGGAUGAUCAGCCACACUGGGACUGAGACACGGCCCAGACUCCUACGGGAGGCAGCAGUGGGGAAUAUUGGACAACGGGCGAAAGCCUGAUCCAGCAAUGCCGCGUGAGUGAUGAAGGCCUUAGGGUUGUAAAGCUCUUUUACCCGGGAUGAUAAUGACAGUACCGGGAGAAUAAGCUCCGGCUAACUCCGUG
rnacentral:rRNA from 1 species